rnacentral:rRNA from 1 species
AUUGAACGCUGGCGGCAGGCCUAACACAUGCAAGUCGAACGGCAGCAUCGUACAAGGUGGCGAUUACGGGUGUAGAGUGGCGGACUGUGUCGGAAUAUACCGAAUUGUACUGUUUAGCUGGGGAUAAGAUAGGGUAAUACCCGAUAAUACCGCAUUCGACCUGCGGGGGACAGCAAGGGAUCUUCUGACUUGGCGCGAUGGUGUUAGCCUAUGUAGGUUUUGGUAGAUGGCGGGGUCAAGGCACACCUAGGCGACGAUGCGUAGCUGGUAUGAGAGGACGACCAGCCACAUUGGGACUGAGACAGGGCCCAGACUCCUACGGGAGGCAGCAGUGGGGAAUUUUGGACAAUGGGCGCAAGCCUGAUCCAGCAAUACCGCGUGAACGAAGAAGGCCUUCGGGUUGUAAAGUGCUUUUGUACGGAAAGAAAAGCAGCUGGUUAAUACCCGGCUGUAAUGACGGUACCAAAAGAAUAAGCACCGGCUAACUUCGUG